GUCCCGCAGCUGCCGAGGCUAGAGUCGC
rnacentral:sRNA from 1 species